CAGCAGCCGCGGUAAUACGGAGGGGGCUAGCGUUGUUCGGAAUUACUGGGCGUAAAGCGCACGUAGGCGGCUUGGUAAGUUAGAGGUGAAAGCCUGGAGCUCAACUCCAGAAUUGCCUUUAAGACUGCCGAGCUAGUAGGUGAGAGAGGUAAGUGGAAUUCCGAGUGUAGAGGUGAAAUUCGUAGAUAUUCGGAAGAACACCAGUGGCGAAGGCGGCUCACUGGCUCAUACUGGACGCUGAGGUGCGAAAGCGUGGGGAGCAAACAGGAUUAGAUACCCCAGUAGUCCCUGUCUCUUAUAC
rnacentral:rRNA from 1 species